rnacentral:rRNA from 1 species
GACGAACCGAGCGAACGUUUAUUCGGAAUCACUGGGCUUAAAAGGGCGCGUAGGCGGGCCAUCAAGUCAGGGGUGAAAGCCCCCAGCUCAACUGGGGAAGUGCCUUUGAUACUGGUGGUCUCGAGGGGGAUAGGGGCGUGCGGAACUUCCGGUGGAGCGGUGAAAGUGCGUAGAUAUCGGAAGGAACACCGGUGGCGAAAGCGGCGCGCUGGAUCCCUUCUGACGCUGAGGCGCGAAAGCCAGGGGAGCGAACGGG